rnacentral:rRNA from 1 species
GACGAACGCUGGCGGCGUGCUUAACACAUGCAAGUCGAGCGGAAAGGCCCUGCUUUUGUGGGGUGCUCGAGUGGCGAACGGGUGAGUAACACGUGAGUAACCUGCCCUUGACUUUGGGAUAACUUCAGGAAACUGGGGCUAAUACCGGAUAGGAGCUCCUGCUGCAUGGUGGGGGUUGGAAAGUUUCGGCGGUUGGGGAUGGACUCGCGGCUUAUCAGCUUGUUGGUGGGGUAGUGGCUUACCAAGGCUUUGACGGGUAGCCGGCCUGAGAGGGUGACCGGCCACAUUGGGACUACGAGACGGCCCAGAAUCCUACGGGAGGCAGCAGUGGGGAAUAUUGCACAAUGGGCGGAAGCCUGAUGCAGCAACGCCGCGUGCGGGAUGACGGCCUUCGGGUUGUAAACCGCUUUCGCCUGUGACGAAGCGUGAGUGACGGUAAUGGGUAAAGAAGCACCGGCUAACUACGUG